rnacentral:rRNA from 1 species
CUUCAGAGCACAGACAUUCCUGCUCAACAAGUUCCAGUGCUAGGACAGGAAUUCAAUUCAUCUGAUGAUGCAUUCAAUUUUUUUAAUGACUACGCCAAACAUGUUGGGUUCGGGAUAAGGAAAGGACAGAAAAAUAAGAAGAAAUGCUACUUAUAUUGCGUACACUCUGGCAAAUACACAUCCUCUGUUCACGAUGCAGAUCGUCGGCGCAACAAAGUAACAAAAAGAACUGAUUGCAAGAUAAUGAUGCUCUUGAAAGAAAGAGACGACGGGACUUGUGUUGUCAAAGAUAUUGUGAUUGAACACAACCACAGGCUCCUUGACAGCCCGUCCGCGCUCGUCUUUCUGUAUUCACACAAAACGAUAGAUCCAACAGUAAAAGAAUACAUAAAAGACCUGCAUAAGACAAAUGUUAAGCAUGUGAAUAUCAUGAGUCUCCUUUCUUGGUUAUCUGGUGGGCGCGACAAAUUGCCUUUCACAGACAAGGACGUGCUUAACAUGUAA